rnacentral:sRNA from 1 species
GUCAAGUGACCCCAUUAAUUAUAAAAAUAUAAUUUAUUACAUGUAAGUUUAUAUACUUACCCUGUUUUUUUGUUGAUUGCUGCGACAAGCACCGGCGGCACAAAAUAUAAAAGAAAAAAGAAGGAGAGAUGAAGGUGAGAUGAAUGAAAGAGUCGCAGCGAUAGAUCUGAAGAGAUAGGAGAAAGAGAAUUUGAGACGCUAAAAAUUCCAGCGUCUACGGAAUGGCCGAAUUACAGUCACUGCGGCAGAGAUGAAAGAGAGGAGAAAUGAAAGUGAAAGAGAGAUGAGAGCUUUUUUUAGAUCGCAGGUAGCUGACUUAGCGAUCAAUCAAAAAACAGGGCCAGUGUAUAACUAAUUAACUAAC